AAUUCUCCGCUCCCUCACUGGCGGCACAGCUCCUCGUCACCUCGUCCCCUCAUACCCUCGUCUUCCUCCCUCCCCUUCCCCUUCCCCAUCCCGAUCCCCAUCCCCAAACUCUUCAUUCCUCCUCGCUCCCGAUGUGGCGUCGCCGCCUCUUCGGCCCCGUCACCACCGCCGCUCUUCAUUCCUCCUCGCUCCCGAUGUGGCGUCGCCGCCUCUUAGGCACCGUCACCACCGCCGCGUCACCUCGUCGAACCUUUAGUCUUCUGGCCUGCGCUUGCCGCACCGCACCUCGCUCCGGCCUUCCCGCGUUCACGGUUCCCGGGCGCCUGCUCCUCCGCCCAGCAGUUGCUAUGGGGCAGUCUGGUGAUUGCGGCUCGAGAUCAGGCCCAAAUUCUUCUUCGCCUUGGCCAGGACAUGAAGUGUCCCGCUCCAUGGAACCGGGAGAUCGGUGCACAGGCUGCGGGUUAACUCGUUUCACGGAAUAUGGGCCUGGCCAUAGAUAGCAUAAGGGCUUCCGGAGUGUAAGAAUUUCCUUGAUGUUGAUUGCCACAUCAGUGCUGUUCCAGAAAACCGAUGCUGACGGCUGCGAUGGUCAUGAUCGCAUGAGUUCGAAGGACGGCGCUGGCCGUGGAGGGCUUUUGAUGCGGCCGAGGAUAGAGUGACGCAUUGAUGCAGUCCUCACCUCACACAGAAACGUGCGGACAGGGGUUGGAACGCUUGAAAUGAUAAUAUAUUGCAAGCUCCAGCUGAAAACAAGUCCCCCGGAGAAUUUAUAUCAACGGGAACCCGCCUGCGCGAUUUUAGUUCUGCAUCGGAGUGAUGAAACUUUGGGAGACAUCGAACCGGUGCUCCUCGCGUGAUGGGUCUUCGUUUAUCACAGAAGUCCUUCUCUCGAGAAUGAGCAUUUCGCUAUGUCGAUAAUUUAAGUCUAUAAUAAACAUGAAGUUCAAAUUCUUAACACAAAAGAUAUAAUAGGAAACUCAUUGGACAGGGCAUUUUUAUUGAUAGGCUUACUAUCAGCAAUGCUCGUAAGUUUGUGGACCAUCUUGAAAAACUGGUUGGAGCUUGCAAUGCCUAGAGACAGCAGCUAGCAAUCUGUGAACAAUAACAUCUGCCAGAAAAAACAGCCACAUUAGCGUCUAAUAUCUAUGACUACCUUUAUUGCUAUUCUCCUGUUUUUAAAUAGGGAUGAAAAUAUGAAUUAAAUCAUUUUAAUCCAUGGAUACUCUCAUCAGGUAGUUUCAAUAAUUGUGGUAGCAUGAAAGCCCGCUAAUGAAGUGGUUUGUAUUUGCAUCAUCAUGGAUAAAUUGGCUAACAUAUAAACUAAUGCUUUUUGCAUCUCAAAAUAAUCAUUAGUAAAUUAUGGUAAUCCUUUUGAAGCCAUAUUAGGUGAGAUAACAAAGAAUAGGUUGAUUGAAUCACAAGGAGUAUUGCAAAAUAUGUUGUGUUGCCUCUCCGAAAUUAGCCAUUCUAAAGACUAAAGAGGAGAAUUCUCACUCUGUUAAGUAGCAAUAACUAACCUGCAUAUCUGCACGAAUAGAGGAGUAAAAUGAGACCGGCCACAGCUCCUCGUCACCUCGUCCACUCAUACCCUCGUUUGCCUUCCUCCCUUCCUUCCAUUCCCCAUCCCCAAACUCUUCAUUCCUCCUCGCUCCCGAUGUGGCGUCGCCGCCUCUUCGGCCCCGUCACCACCGCCGCUCUUCAUUCCUCCUCGCUCCCGAUGUGGCGUCGCCGCCUCUUAGGCACCGCCGCGGCGGCCUUGGAUGGGGAAUACGAGGGACUCCUUUCCAUUCUCGAGGAGAAGAGGAC
rnacentral:lncRNA from 1 species